CCUACGGGGGGCUGCAGUGGGGAAUAUUGGACAAUGGGGGCAACCCUGAUCCAGCGACGCCGCGUGUGUGAAGAAGGCCUGCGGGUUGUAAAGCACUUUUAGUGGGGAUGAAAAGCCGAAGGCUAAUACCUUUCGGUCUUGACCUAACCCAAAGAAAAAGCACCGGCUAACUCUGUGCCAGCAGCCGCGGUAAUACAGAGGGUGCAAGCGUUAAUCGGAAUUACUGGGCGUAAAGCGUGCGUAGUCGGUUAUCUAAGUCGGAUGUGAAAUCCCCG
rnacentral:rRNA from 1 species